AUGGACAAAGAGUUGAAUGACUGCAAAAACAGACCAAGCUGUGGAGAAGGGAACAGUGACAGUGUUGUACAGUCAGGAUUAGUGAAAACUGAAGGAUCAUGUGCCCAGUUUGUGCUUACUCAGCCAAAGUCUGUGUCAGAGUCUCUAGGGAGAACAGUCACCAUCUCCUGCAAAUGCAGCAGUGGCAACAUUGGGAGCUACUAUGUGCACUGGUACCAGCAGCAAUUUGGAAGCUCGCCCAAAGCUGUGAUCUAUGAAAACAAUAAAAGACCAUCUGGGGUUCCUGAUAGGUUCUCUGGCUCCAUUGACAGCUCCUCCAACUCAGCUUCACUGACCAUCACUAAUCUGCAGAUUGAAGAUGAGGCUGACUACUUCUGUCAGUCUUAUGAUAGUAACAGUCUGCACAGUGAUGAAAAUCAUGGGGAA